GACGAACGCUGGCGGCGUGCCUAAUACAUGCAAGUCGAACGCUGAAGAGAGGAGCUUGCUCUUCUUGGAUGAGUUGCGAACGGGUGAGUAACGCGUAGGUAACCUGCCUUGUAGCGGGGGAUAACUAUUGGAAACGAUAGCUAAUACCGCAUAACAAUGGAUGACACAUGUCAUUUAUUUCAAAGGGGCAAUUGCUCCACUACAAGAUGGACCUGCGUUGUAUUAGCUAGUAGGUGAGGUAAUGGCUCACCUAGGCGACGUUACAUAGCCGACCUGAGAGGUUGAUCGGCUACGCGGGGCAUGAGACACGGCCCAGACUCCUAAGGGAGGCAGCAGUAGGGAAUCUUCGGCAAUGGGGGCAACCCUGACCGAGCAACGACGCGUGAGUGAAGAAGGUUUUCGGAUCGUAAAGCUCUGUUGUAAGUCAAGAACGGGUGUGAGAGUGGAAAGUUCACACUGUGACGGUAGCUUACCAGAAAGGGACGGCUAAAUACGUG
rnacentral:rRNA from 1 species